rnacentral:lncRNA from 1 species
UAGGGGCUGGAGUAGGAGCCCGCGAAGCCGGCUCGCCCAUACUGCUCGCGGCCCGCCAGGCCCGCGCCCGCCGCCCCGCCGCCACUGCUGUAGGCCGCGGAUUCCCGGGGCGCGGGCGGGGGGGGGGGGGGGGGGGGGGGGGGAACAGCCGGGGGGGGAGGGGAAACGUCGCGAGGGAACGGCUGCCUGGGGGAGGGCGCGGGAACAGCCCGGGAGGGAGGCGAGGGGGAGGGGGAGGGAGGGGCCGCACGGGAGGGGGGCGGCCGAGGAGCGGGAAGAUCUGGGCCGAGAGCCGGGAAGGGCCGGAGGGCGGGGCGGGGCAGAAGGGAAGAGCCAGCCUGGCCGGUCACGUGGGGCCGGUACAAAAGGCCAAAGCCAAAGUGGGAGGAGGACUGGAGGGGCUGGAGGCCUGCGGCCGGGGGCUCCAGCUCGCCCUCGUUGCGAGGUUCGGCCGGGCGGAUACCCGGGCGAAGAAGCUGCUGUCUCCCCAUUACACAGCUGGGGAAGCUGAGGGCAGCGCCCGGGUGGGGAGGCUUCAGUGCGGCGCGGAAAUCCGCCCUUUGCAGGAGAAAGAGCAGGUGCGAUGAGAGGGGAGAAGGACAGAAAGUUGGACACCUUACGGGGCCCUCUCAUCAGAAUGACCUCAUUCCCACUCCGAGAGACUUGUUGGACUUUUUGUUGAGCCAUUUUUGUGAAGAACCACGUAGGCUCGGGACUGAGACUCGCACAAGGUCACACAGCUGUUGGGUGGCACACAUCUGAGUUUGGAGCCUCGAAGUGUCUCAUUCCGUCGCCUGUCUUCUGCUGCUGCCCUUCGCAGAAUUGCUCUUGUCAGAAUUUAUGGCUGAACUACGAACGGGCACCUUUCAUGGCCUGUCUGUCCAAUACUGGCUGCAUGGAUGUUUCUUUGUCUUUCAUUUAGUUGAAACUCCUGAGGCAGAGAUUGAGUCAUUUCCCUGCCUUCACUGGAAGGGCAGUAAAUGACAUGCAAAAUGCGUGAGGACUUCGUGUGGAAGCGUUUUCCUGCCACUGGUCCUUUUUAUCUGCCUUGUGCCCCCCUGCUAGACGGUCCUCCCCAGCACCUCCUCCUUUUAUCUCAGCCCUAACUUUUAAAGUCCAUCCCCUCACUCACUACCUUAACUUUCGUGUUUACUUCCUUUUAUGAACUUCUCUAGGUCGACCGUUUUCACUCUUCGCGGGGCGCUUGUUGUGUGGCCUUUCUGCACCUUUGAUGAAUGCAUUCCCAGAUAUGUUCUCUUCUAGGAUGCCUCUUUGCAUCGCCAGUGGCACCGUGUUUGUACAAGCAGUACAGACUCCAAAAAAUGUUACUGGUGGGUGAACAUUAUUUCAGCCACUAAGAAAGAGGUGGGAGUGAGGGGUUUCCUGGUGGCUGAGCGAGUUAAAGACCUGGCAUUGUCACGGCUGUGUCUCAGUUUCAAUCUCUGACCCAGGAACUUGCACAUGCCAAGGGCACAACUAAAAAAGAGAAAGAGAGGAUUUCCAUCCCCAAAUCAAGCCUGCCUUGUUUAUGCCUCAACCUUUACUUUCCUAUCUCCAUAGUUUUUCUCCACUGUAAUCCUUAGCCUAUACCAUAGACUGUCUAGAUCAUUCAAUAACAUAAAAACAAUAUUUUUCAAUUUGAUGUCUUAGCAGUGGCAACGAUAACAGGUGUGGUGUGAUAAGAUUUACUGAAUCACCCUUCAUCACCUACUGUCAAGCCACAUUCCUACUACAUUAGGACGGAAAUUUAGGGAUAGAAAAAUAUGAAGGAUAUUUUCCGUCCUAGAUGGAUUAGACUCGGGUAAAACGAAAAAUAUUUGUAAAUAUUUGCAAUACAGCAAGAGGAGUUGGGGAAAUGAUCUUUUAGAAGAAUAAAUUAAGGUUUUUAUUUCCCAGAGAGGACAAAUAAAAUCAUAUUAAUAG